AUUGAACGCUGGCGGCAUGCUUUACACAUGCAAGUCGAACGGCAGCACGGGGGCAGCCCUGGUGGCGAGUGGCGAACGGGUGAGUAAUACAUCGGAACGUGCCCGGUCGUGGGGGAUAACGUAGCGAAAGUUACGCUAAUACCGCAUACGAUCUGAGGAUGAAAGCGGGGGACCUUCGGGCCUCGCGCGAUCGGAGCGGCCGAUGUCAGAUUAGGUAGUUGGUGGGGUAAAGGCCUACCAAGCCGACGAUCUGUAGCUGGUCUGAGAGGACGACCAGCCACACUGGGACUGAGACACGGCCCAGACUCCUACGGGAGGCAGCAGUGGGGAAUUUUGGACAAUGGGCGCAAGCCUGAUCCAGCCAUGCCGCGUGCAGGACGAAGGCCUUCGGGUUGUAAAAUGCUUUUGUACGGAACGAAAAGGCUCUGGCUAAUACCUGGGGCUCAUGACGGUACCGAAAGAAUAAGCACCGGCUAACUACGUG
rnacentral:rRNA from 1 species